UGGGGAAUAUUGGACAAUGGGCGCAAGCCUGAUCCAGCCAUGCCGCGUGAGUGAAGAAGGCCUUAGGGUUGUAAAGCUCUUUCAGCGGGGAAGAUGAUGACGGUACCCGCAGAAGAAGCCCCGGCUAACUCCGUGCCAGCAGCCGCGGUAAUACGGAGGGGGCAAGCGUUGUUCAGAAUUACUGGGCGUAAAGGGCGCGCAGGCGGCGGGCCGCGUCAGGUGUGAAAGCCCCGGGCUCAACCUGGGAACUGCACUUGAUACGGGCGGACUGGAAUCCGGGAGAGGAUGGUGGAAUUCCCAGUGUAGAGGUGAAAUUCGUAGAUAUUGGGAAGAACACCGAUGGCGAAGGCAGCCAUCUGGCCCGGUAUUGACGCUGAGGCGCGAAAGCGUGGGGAGCAAACAGGAUUAGAUACCCGCGUAGUCC
rnacentral:rRNA from 1 species